CGCCGGGCUGGCCGCUUUGACCCUCUUGGUAUUGGGUGGGCGGCAUCUCGGGUGGCUGGGGUCUGUGACGCCACUUUUCUGGACGCUCCUCGGCUAAGAAGGGCGCGGGCUUAAACCACGUCCCCGAAAGCCAAGGAAGCCAACUGCAAUUCUGGAGCACACGAAGGGAAGCACUCCUAAACAUGCUGCAAAAUGCCCAGUUCCUGACCCCGAUGACAUCAGGCUAUGCUGUACUAGCUCUAAGAAAAAGAAGAAAAGUGGGAUGAGAGGUGACUUUGUAUUUAUUUUUCUCCAUUCUCAAGGGCACAAGAUUUUUCUGCCUGGAUUCUUGCAGAGUUUCCCAGAAUGCCCUAACCAACUGUGCAUUCCUUAUUGCUUGGUAGCCUCAGUUCCAGAGGAGGCAUUUUCACAACCCAUUCAGACCCCGUGAGCAUCCAAAUCUUCCUAGAGGGACGUCUCUUGAUUUUGUUUCAUCAGGCUUGAAUGUCACUGCUGGGGCCCUAUGGAAGCAUCACUUAGACACCACUUAACUCAGAGUUUCAUGGAGGACCAAAGAAAACAAUCCAAACACAGUCUGAAGCAAAAGCCAAUCUCCUGGGCCUUAAAGCAAGGAAGACUUUGUCACUUCAUGCUGAGGAUCCCCUUCUUGGCAUCCAUAUAUGUUCUUUGAAGUGCUCUGUCAGACAAGCCCUGGGUGCUUGUCAUGCUAUUUGUGAGGUGACGUGGGAGGUGGGAGUGCAGGGGAAAAGGUAAGGAUGAAGGCAGAAAAUAGUGAGGUACACCGAGGAGCUGGAGACGAAGAUGAGUGGAUUGACCUCCUGACAGAUGCUAAUCAAUGGCCUUGAUUGCAGAGCGACCAGUGGGAGAGUAAGUCCAGAAGUAAAAGUGAUGGUAAUAAUUGCUCUUUACAUUUCCUGAGCACGUACUGUGUGGUGUAUGUGUAUUGUCUUAUAUGAGCCUCAUAACAACUCUAUGAAAUAGGAACUAUUAUUGCCUCCUUUUAAUGAUGAAAAUACUGAGGCUUAAAGGGGUUAAGUGAUGUACCCAAAGUUACACCAUCAGUUAAGUCGUAGUGCCAGGACUGAAACCCAGACAGUUCGACGUGGAAGCCAGCCUCACAAUCCACACUAUUUUUUAUGUGUGUUAUUAUAUAAUACUUGAUACAUACAACUUAUAUGUAAAACGUAUAUGUUAUGGAGCAUAUUAACAAUAUGAACACACAU